rnacentral:rRNA from 1 species
GAGUUUGAUCUUGGCUCAGAACGAACGCUGGCGGCAGGCCUAACACAUGCAAGUCGAACGCCCAGCAAUGGGAGUGGCGCACGGGUGCGUAACGCGUGGGAAUAUGCCCUUGACUACGGGACAACGUUUGGAAACGAACGCUAAUACCGUAUAAUGACUCCGGUCCAAAGAUUUAUCGGUCAAGGAUUAGCCCGCGUCAGAUUAGCUAGUUGGUGAGGUAACGGCUCACCAAGGCGACGAUCUGUAGCUGGUCUGAGAGGAUGAUCAGCCACACUGGAACUGAGACACGGUCCAGACUCCUACGGGAGGCAGCAGUGAGGAAUAUUGGACAAUGGGCGCAAGCCUGAUCCAGCCAUGCCGCGUGAGUGACGAAGGCCUUCGGGUUGUAAAGCUCUUUUAGUAUGUGAAGAUAAUGACGGUAGCAUCAGAAAAAGACCCGGCUAAAUUCGUGCCAGCAGCAGCCGCCGUAAU